CCUAGUCAUGUGUAAAUACUUCUCAGCAACAAAUUGCUAAAUCAGAUAUUAAUGUUCACUACAAUUUUCAUUGCAGAUAACAAGAAUGAUUUUACAGGAGAUGGUUCCCAACCUCCCAGGCCUAAGGGAAAGUUGACACGUCCAAAACCUUGUUAUUUAUGGACGACAGCUGAUGUACAGAAGUGGUUCAAGCGUCACUGUAGUGAAUACUUCCAGCUGUAUUCUCACCUGCUCAUUAUGAAUGACAUAACAGGUAAGGCACUAGUACGGAUGAGUGAGGGGACGCUCAUCAGGAUGGGCAUCAAACACCCAGAACAUGUUGAGGCUAUUUGGCGAGAGAUCCUCAAGCAGCGCCUCAAGGCUGAUAUCCAAGAGAUGAAGGAAAUAGAAAUGAGUGCUAUUGUAUCAUAAAGAUGCACAAGAGAUUUGGGACAAUAAUUUGUGAGAUGAGCUUAUGAAGAUUAUGAAAAUUAUCCCCAGUACUAAUGCAAGCACUACUUUGUACUUCACCCCACCCUGAACCUCCUUAGUAUGCCUUCUUGCUGAAAGUAUUUUGGUAUGAGGAAUUGGAGGUACUCUCCCUUCUUGUAUUAAACAUGAUUACCAAAUAUUCACCAGGUGCAGUAGGACUCCUACAGGUUCAACACUACAUGCCUAGAAUUAUCAUAAAGAAGAGCUAAACCUUCAAGGGUCAUACAGCAGUCGUACCUAGAAUAGUAUAACUACUAUGAAUAGUUCUUAGACUUCUUAAAGGUUCUAUAUUCCUGGGUCAUUUCCCACACCUAUGAACAGCCUGCAACAACAAUAAUAAUAAUACUCCAAGUGGGAUACCUUAAUUCCAGUGAAGGGUUUGUAUUUUGAGGAAUUUUAUCUAUGCUCCCCUUCCUUGGAUCAAAUCUGGUUACCUCUCAUUCCCAAGGCACUGUAUGACCCCUAUAAGUUUAGUGCUUCCCCAUUAAUGUAAUAGUACAUUAAUGACACAAAUUUAUCCUAUCAAAGAGCAACAAAAAGUUCACAAGUGCAGUACUGCAUUACAAAAUUUAUAUUUGUAGUUCUAACAAUGUGAGUUAAAGCUUGUGCUGAAUAUUACAUAUAUUGUACAGUACAAGCCUGGCCCAUUACCGGGCUCCAGGAGUCAAAGAACUCUUGGAACUCAAAGGUAUGUCAUACUACCUCAAAGGUAUAUCAUAGUACCUCAAAAGUAUAUCAUUGUACCUCAAAGGUACUAUGAAACUAUAUUUCAAAGACCCUUAAAGUCAUAUAGCAAGUUAACCAGGGAUCUUCCAUAUGCACUAUCAGAUGCCAUCCAAUUUUUGUAAAAACUACGUAUAUGUACACAUAAACUUAUUACAGGAGGGCCCCGCUUAUACAGCAUGUUAGGUUCUGGGCUACUGCUGUAGAGCAAAAAAUGUUGUAAAGUGAAACAUAACCUUUUUUCGCUUUCAAAUGUAGUAUAUAAAAGCAUGAUAACAUGUUUACAAUAUCAAAUAUUAAGUGAGCAAUAGAGCUAGGCCUAAAGAAUGCAUAUACAGUACACAUAUAACUUACUUUAAAAUAUUUUCAUCUUUAGUUUAUAGUGAGUACUGAAUAUAUUUAUUGUAGGAAGUCUGAGCAAAUAAAAAAUGGGUAGAAUUGAAAACCACUGCAUUAGCGAAACGUCAUAAGUGAAGUGCUGUAAAGCAGGGCCCUCCUGUAUUAUAUCAAAUUGAAUAAGUUAAUUACUGUGAACAGCCUCUCCUCACUUAACGACGGAGUUCCGUUCCUAAGACCACAUUGGCAAACGAACUGAUCGCUAAGCAAGGAGCAUACUAUAAUGGUAGUGAGUUUGUGUCAACCAUCUUUUAUAUUGUUUCAAUGUCACCUUUGCACUAUUUAUAACACUUAGUAUAUUUUUAUAUAGUAGAGUACUGUAUAUUGUAAUAAACAGAAUAAGAGAAAAUCAGCUCUUAAUAUAUGUUAUUUAGGUAUGCAUACUGGUCAGAGAGCCUGUCGUAAGUCUGAGUCAUCGAUAAACGAGUAUGUCGCUAAGUGAGGAGAGGCUGUAUUUAAAAUAUACAUUUCUUUAACCAACCAUUACCUGGUUCCAAUUUUA